rnacentral:rRNA from 1 species
UACGUAGGGGGCAAGCGUUGUCCGGAUUUAUUGGGCGUAAAGAGCGUGUAGGCGGCCAUGCAGGUCCGUUGUGAAAACUCGGGGCUUAACUCCGAGACGUCGAUGGGAACCGCAUGGCUAGAGUCCGGAAGAGGAGAGUGGAAUUCCUGGUGUAGCGGUGAAAUGCGCAGAUAUCAGGAGGAACACCAAUAGCGAAGGCAGCUCGCUGGGACGGUACUGACGCUAAGGCGCGAAAGCGUGGGGAGCGAACAGG